UACAGAGGGUGCGAGCGUUGUUCGGAAUUAUUGGGCGUAAAGGGCGCGUAGGCGGUGCGGUAAGUCACCUGUGAAAUCUCCUGGCUCAACUGGGAGCUUGCAGGCGAAACUGCCGUGCUGGAGUGUGGGAGAGGUGCGUGGAAUUCCUGGUGUAGCGGUGAAAUGCGUAGAUAUCAGGAGGAACGCCUGUGGCGAAAGCGGCGCACUGGACCACAACUGACGCUGAGGCGCGAAAGCUAGGGGAGCAAACAGG
rnacentral:rRNA from 1 species